rnacentral:rRNA from 1 species
AUUGAACGCUGGCGGACGGCUUAACACAUGCAAGUCGAGCGAGCGGCGGACGGGUGAGUAAUGUCUGGGAAACUGCCUGAUGGAGGGGGAUAAAUACUGGAAACGGUAGCUAAUAACGCAUACAAUCAGAUGAGCCCAGAUGGGAUUAGCUAGUAGGUGGGGUAAUGGAUCACCGAGGCGACUAUCCCUAGCUGGUCUGAGAGGAUGACCAGCCACACUGGAACUGAGACACGGUCCAGACUCCUACGGGAGGCAGCAUUGGGGAAUAUUGCACAAUGGGCGCAAGCCGGAUGCAGCCAUGCCGCGUGUAUGAAGAAGGCCUUCGGGUUGUAAAGCACUUUCAGCGAGGAGGCGUUACUCGCAGAAGAAGCACCGGCUAACUCCGUGCCAGCAGCCGCGGUAAUUC